AACGAACGCUGGCGGCAUGCCUAAUACAUGCAAGUCGAACGAGAUCUUCGGAUCUAGUGGCGCACGGGUGCGUAACGCGUGGGAAUCUGCCCUUGGGUUCGGAAUAACAUCUGGAAACGGAUGCUAAUACCGGAUGAUGACGUAAGUCCAAAGAUUUAUCGCCCAAGGAUGAGCCCGCGUAGGAUUAGCUAGUUGGUGAGGUAAAGGCUCACCAAGGCUACGAUCCUUAGCUGGUCUGAGAGGAUGAUCAGCCACACUGGGACUGAGACACGGCCCAGACUCCUACGGGAGGCAGCAGUAGGGAAUAUUGGACAAUGGGGGCAACCCUGAUCCAGCAAUGCCGCGUGAGUGAUGAAGGCCUUAGGGUUGUAAAGCUACUUUUACCCGAGAUGAUAAUGACAGUAUCGGGAGAAUAAGCUCCGGCUAACUCCGUG
rnacentral:rRNA from 1 species